UCCGACCCACUCGGCCCCUCCCCGCGCCUCCCCGCCCCGCCCUGCGGGUUGCUCCCUGCGCUUGCGCAGAGCUGGGGGCGUCGGGAUCCAAAGUGGUGGAAAAAGCGUCGUUAGUAGACCUUUCGGCACUAAAAGCCCCCCAGAAAAAAGCGUGCAAGGGGACAUUGUUGUGUGGAGAGGAUUGAAUACAGGAGCUGUGGGCUUUCUGGAGUCCUUCAGCAAUGCAGACAUUGGACAGCCUUCUGCGCCUUUUAAGGAUGCCCGUAUUAUUUUUUGUUUGGUGUCUUGCUUGUUUGCACAUUUAACAAAAACCUACGGUGGGUGUUAAGAAAAUGAAGACUGUCAGAACUGGUGGACAACUCAUCUUCAACUCCAGUCCCUAAAAGUGGAGUGCAAAAGGAAUUAACUCUAGCCCAAGACGUGGUGAAGAGUCGGAUGCUUAUUUCCUAGUUAUUCUUGAGGACGAAAUGGCAGACUGCAGAGUUCCCAGAUGUUACGGAUGACAUCUCCUCAUCAUUACAGGUUCCCGAGAAUGUGAGUCCUAAGUCUGCACCUUUCGUCAAGAGUUCUAGGUUCACAUUUUCAGCUGCUUGUGGGUUGUUGGAUAUUUCUACAUGCAUGUCUUAUUGUCAGUUCUGACUCAGAAGCUCCAAAAACUUCUCCAAUAAACCUUUUU